UAUUGGCCAAUGGGCGAAAGCCUGAUCCCGCAAUGCCGCGUGAGUGAUGUAGGCCCUAAGGGUUGUAAAGCUUUUUUACCCGGGAAGACAAUGACUGUACCGGGAGAAUAAGCCCCGGCUAACUCCGUGCCAGCAGCCGCGGUAAUACGGAGGGGGCAGCGUUGUUCGGAAUUACUGGGCGUAAAGCGCACGCAGGCGGCUUUGAAGUCAGAGGUAAAGCCCGAGCUCAACUCCAGAACUGCCUUUGAACUGCCUCGCUUGAUCCAGAGGGUCGGUGAAUUCAAGUGAAGGUGAAUUGGAGAUUUUGAAGACACCAGGUGGGAAGGGGGCUGCUGGAAUGACUAGCGUAGGUAAAUCGAUAUUU
rnacentral:rRNA from 1 species